rnacentral:rRNA from 1 species
UGGGGAAUUUUGCACAAUGGGGGGAACCUUGAUGCAGCGACGCCGCGUGAGGGAUGGAGGCCUUCGGGUUGUGAACCUCUUUCGCUCGUGUGCAAGCCGCUAUUUGGGUAGUGGUGAGUGUAGCGGGUAAAGAAGCGCCGGCUAACUACGUUCCAGCAGCCGCGGUAAUACGUAGGGCGCGAGCGUUGUCCGGAUUUAUUGGGCGUAAAGGGCUUGUAGGCGGUUUGUCGCGCCUGUCGUGUAAUCCUCUGGCUUAACUGGGGGUGUGCGGUGGGUACGGGCAAGCUUGAGUGCGGUAGGGGAGAUUGGAAUUCCUGGUGUAGCGGUGGAAUGCGCAGAUAUCAGGAGGAACACCGGUGGCGAAGGCGGGUCUCUGGGCCGUUACUGACGCUGAGGAGCGAAAGCGUGGGGAGCGAACAGG